rnacentral:tRNA from 1 species
CGGAGUACAGCCAAGUGGAACGGCAUCGGUUUUUGAUACCGACACGCAAAGGUUCGAAUCCUCUCACCCCAG